UUUUUGUACGAAAGGAAAGAAGCACUCUCCUUGACAAGAAUGGAGGAGGCCCUCGGGCCUCAGAACACGAAUACCGUGAAAGCACUGCCACCUCCUUUGUGGCUUUCUCCACUUCUGGGU
ensembl:snRNA